AUAGUGAAAUUGCUGACGUCUCAUAGAGACACAAUAUUAAACAAAAAACGGAUGGGACCACGAACGAAGCCAAAAACAAAGCUUGGAUCCAGUCUCAAAUAGUUUUAAUGCGACAGGAAACGUUUUCAGGUGGUGCGAGAAAUUGGAAAGACGUGUAAAAACAUGCUGCGACCCCAAAUUAAGAUGGGGCAGGAGGAUGAUGAUAAUGUUUGUUACAUCACAUGAGGACUAUUAUUGAA